CAGCAGCAGCCGCGGGAAUACAGAGGGUGCGAGCGUUAAUCGGAUUUACUGGGCGUAAAGCGUGCGUAGGCGGCUAAUUGAGUCGGAUGUGAAAUCCCCGAGCUUAACUUGGGAAUUGCAUUCGAUACUGGUUAGCUAGAGUGUGGGAGAGGAUGGUAGAAUUCCAGGUGUAGCGGUGAAAUGCGUAGAGAUCUGGAGGAAUACCGAUGGCGAAGGCAGCCAUCUGGCCUAAUACUGACGCUGAGGUACGAAAGCAUGGGGAGCAAACAGGAUUAGAUACCCCUGUAGUCCCUGUCUCUUAUAC
rnacentral:rRNA from 1 species